CAUCACCUGUACAUCUUCAUAUCCACAGGACUGUAUAUCGCCUUGAAGCUUCAAUAAUCCAGCACCUGAUGUAAACAAAAGUUUGGAGUUUGGGUCAGCUAAUCAGACCAAGAUUCCUAAUUCAAGAGAUGGAAAAGGAAAGGAGUGAUAAGAAGGUCCCAAUGAGAGAGAUAUUUUUGUGUAUUGAAGAAUACGUGGAGUCUUUUUGAGGCUCUAUUAUUAUUACAACUUUCCCGUACUGUCAGCAAUGGGGUCUACCUCCACGUUUUAAUCAAUUUUUUCGAUGGAUUUUAGUUUAUG